rnacentral:rRNA from 1 species
GAUGAACGCUGGCGGCACGCUUAACACAUGCAAGUCGAACGAAGUCCAUGGAGCUUGCUCCGGAAGACUUAGUGGCGAACGGGUGCGUAACACGUGAGAAACCUGCCCCGGACUUUGGGAUAACAGUUGGAAACGACUGCUAAUACCGAAUGUCAUCAUUUCCUCGCAUGGGGGUUUGAUGAAAGGUCCGCCGGUCCGGGAGGGUCUCGCGGUCUAUCAGCUUGUUGGAGAGGUAAUGGCUCACCAAGGCUUCGACGGAUAGCUGGUCUGAGAGGAUGAUCAGCCACACUGGAACUGAGACACGGUCCAG